GAGUGAGGGUAGGAUAGGGUAGGA
rnacentral:piRNA from 1 species